GAGAUGUUGCUGGGGCCAGGCUGGGCUGGGAUUCUGUUUGCUUUGCUUAGGAGAUGGUGGGGCAAUCAGAGAUCAGGGGCCUGUGAGCUGCUGUGAGAAGGGAAGGAGGGGCUUGGGAUUUGGGCCCAGGAAUUCCCAUCAGGAAUGAAACACUUUCCACCUGCUGCCACCUAAAGCGCCUAACUCCGUCAUGGAAUUUGCGUGCAGACAGUUAGAUCGGACUUUGGAAACAGAGGAUGAAUAAUGAGUUUCCUUCUUUCUGUUCACAGAGGCCAGCCAAGAGCCAGAGCUGGAGCCAGGCCUCUGGUCGUAAACUAAACAACAGAACCAGUUAUUGGUUUCAAGUCUGACUGCCUCCUCUUGUAAGGACUUUGGAACUUGGAGAAGCUCCCUUACCCUUUAUAAGCCAGCAGAAAGAAGUAUGAUUGUCAAGACCCCAGACAGAAUGGCAGGUAAAAGAAACAGCUGCUGUUAUCCAGAGUAAAUCAGUCACAAAGAAACCUGCUCCUCAUUCUGUCUCCUGGUUUCCCAUAAAUGCCUGAAGCCCAGCCUUGGAGUUGGAGGCUUUCCUAUAGAGAUAGAGCUUAUCAACUGGUGAUCUUCACUGUAAGAUGAUUGAGUGAGAACCUGGCUAAUUCAUUGGGGACCCCAAAAUGACAUUAUCUAUGGGUCUUUUCUUUGAGAGCAGUUCCAGUCUCCUCAGAGAUGAAUUCUCCAGUUUCUUGCCUGGAAAAUAUAUACCUGACUGCUGGUGUUCUUGGAACCAAUGUUUUUGGAGUGUAGGAAAAGGGACCUUAUUGUAGACUUUCAUUUAGUGCCCCUAUUUUCAAUAGAAUGCCCAUUCCCUAUUUUUAACUCUAUCUGGGGCAUCUGGGUCUGGGGCUUCUGUGGAUCAAUUUAGUUUGAAUAAACUUCCAAUCUCCUGCCAGAGUAGGGAAAAGGUAUUUUCCUGGCUGAGCAGGUUGAGGGAGGAGAACUAAGAGUGGUCUAGCUGCUUUUCUCGCACACAUGCAACCAAAUCCUCUGCUUUUGGCCUCUUGACACACCCCUGCUUUCUUUGGUCACUGGUGUCUCUAAUUUCUGAGCUUCCCAGGCAUUCCACAGCAUGAAUUGUCUUGCUUCUCAUUUUGCAGCCCCCACUCUGCAGACAUUUGCUCUUCAGUCCCUUCAGCUCUGCUAACCUGCAUCUACUUUCUAUCUUCCAAAAACGUCUUGGCAUAUCUAGUCUUCUGCUGCCUUCAUUACCGUUCUCUCUGUCUUUGUGGGAUUUUACCCCUUAAAAAACUAAUUUCUCUUCAUUUUAGCAUAGUUUUAGAAGAGAUAAUAGAUAAACAUGUAUUUAAUGUCAUAUUUAAUUGGAAGUCCUCCAAUUGUAUUUAUUAAAAUGAAAAAUUCACAUGCUCCUUGACUUGGAAAUCUCACUUAUGAUAAUUUAACUGUCAGAAAUAAAAGUGCCAGUAUUGUAUAGGUAAGUUUACAAGAGUGUUUACUGCAAUAGUAAUAGCAACAAUCAGAGUGUCCGCUGAUAAGGAACAGUUAUGUAAAUUAUGGUGUAUUUAUACUAUGGACUACUCUCCAAUCAUUAAAAGGAAUAAGGCAUAUUGACUUGGAAAGCCAUCCAUGAUAUAUUGCUGAGUAAAAGAGAAGGCUAUAGUAACCCCAUGUUUGUGAAAGAAAGUGAACUAGUAUUAUAUGUUUAUAUGUUUGUAUACAUAAAGAAUAAAGUGUGUAAGGAGUCAUACUAGAUUUUUAACAGUGAUUACAUUGGGGGAUGGCUUUGGAUGGGGAGUGGAAGAAUAUAUCAAUUUAACUUUAGAAACUUUUUUAUUGUCUUUGAAGUGUUUCAGUUAACCUGUGUUGCUUUUGUUAUUCAAACGCCAAAAUAAACAUGCUUAAAAAAAGUUGUAGAUGCAAGAAUGUUCACUGCAGCAUUAUUUAUGAUGGUGAAAAAUUGGAAAAUAAUAUAAAUGUCUGACAAUAAAGACUGGUUAAUACAUUUGAAAUAUCUAUAUGGCAGAAUAUUAGGAGCCUAUUAUAAUGAUCUUUUAGACAAAUUUUAAUGUUGUGGUAAAAUGGUCAUGAAUAAUGCAAGGUGAGAAAAGUAGAAUACGAAAUCGUAUAUACUUUGUAAUUCCAAUGUUGUAAUUAAAAUGUA
ensembl:lncRNA